CAUUUCAUUUAAAUUUCAUUAUUUGAGUUCUUAUUUUCCAUAUUUCUUUUUGUCUGCAGAAUCAUCAAAACAUUUAUUUCACAAAAACAUGUUUACAUCUUCAGGUGAUGCCGGAUCUUGUUUAACGGGUCACAAUGAUACCCUCGUUUCUAUUGGCUGAUACAAUUUCUUGUUUAACGGGUCACAAAUGAUACCCUCGUUUCUAUUGGCUGAUACAAUUUCUCGGUUAUCGCAACACUCAAAACAACUAAUUCUUGUCUACUAUAAAUAUGGAAUCUCAGGGUUGUGCUUUUAAAGGUUUUAUUUGGUAGCUAUCCGUGUAGGUCAACUAGUUCGUUGUCGACAAAUAAUUCCACUGGUUUAUUUAUUUUCACGUUACAGACUGGGUAUUCACGACUUCAAGAUGUUGAAAUCUUUGAUCUUGGUUAUCAUGGCGUUAUUUCUUACUAUGGCCUCAGCACAGGAUUUUGACAGAUACCAACCACCGGACCGAGUAAUGACGAGUUCAGGAGUCAUCACGAUGUUAAGUAUCUGGUUGCCUGUUGCUUGUUUGGUUGCCGUGAAAUUAUUGAACAUUGUACAGUAAAUAUUGGCCUACCUUAUAUUCAGAACUCCAGCAACAUGGAUACAUUACGUUGCCUAGAAACGAUCUGUCACGUGCCCUGUAGGCAACGCUCGUCGCACAGUUUGUGUGAUGAAUAUAAUAAGACUUCAAUGUAUUUCCUUCGUUAUAAUUAUAUAUAUUUGUUACCAGCCUUUUAUUUUCAGUGUGUAUAAUACAGAUUCAUAGUUUCGACUAUAAAUACGAAGAACUAUUACAGGAUAUUUAAACAAAAUAUCAGUUUUAAUUCAGUAUUUAUCUGUAUUUGUUAACCUAUUGUUUUCAAGUCGUACUAUAUAAUCGACUAAUACGAACAGUUACUGCAGGAAAUUUUAAGAAGCUAUCUAUUUGAAUUCAGUUUUAAAUAUCAUUUUCGUUUCUGCAUAUUUGAAUCUGAUUUAAACAAAAGUUAAAUAAUAUUUUUAAGUCUGCAUGCAUAUUGCAAUCCAUUAUUUAAAAUUCUCAACUUGAUGUAUACCUAACUUAGAUAUUUAUUGGGAACUUUUUUAUAUUUAAUAAAUUCUUUUACCUUGCAUUAAA